AAACUUUCAACAACGGAUCUCUUGGCUCUGGCAUCGAUGAAGAACGCAGCGAAAUGCGAUAAGUAAUGUGAAUUGCAGAAUUUAGUGAAUCAUCGAAUCUUUGAACGCACAUUGCGCCCCUUGGUAUUCCGAGGGGCAUGCCUGUUCGAGCGUCAUAACACCCCCUCCAGCUGCCUUUGUGUGGCUGCGGUGUUGGGGCUCGUCGC
rnacentral:rRNA from 1 species